rnacentral:lncRNA from 1 species
GCACCCAACAGUGCGUGUGAGGAACGAACUGCUGUUUGAGCGUCCCCUGAGAUUGUGCGUAGCCCCGUGUAAAUGUAAUAGCCUCCAUGGCUUAAUUGGCUAGCAAGCGAAUUUUCCCAGAUGAAAGCAAUGUUGGGUUAGGGGACGACGGUGCAGCCACCCAGCCUUUACCAGCAGCGUGCUGCAGACGAAGGCAGUCAAGGUGUGGAGGUGAUCACGCAGGCGCAGGUCAGUUGCCGUGAUGCUCCUUGAGUCAAUGAGCUCUUUGGUCUGCUCUUCUGCUCAAGCAGAAAAUGAUCUGCGCUUCACCCUUGAGAAGCUGACAAGAACCACAGGCUUCUUCAGGCAGGUGGUGGAACAUGGGUGUAUCCUUCAGGCUCUAGCCUGAUUUUCUGGCUCAUAAGGCCAAAGGGAGCUGGAAAGGUCCCCACGGCAGGACUCAUGGUGGAGAGAGAAUGAUCUAGAGGAUUCAGGCCUCUGCACACUGUGUCUGGGUCCCUCCUUAAAGAAUGAUAAAGACAAGUAAAGAGCUUGAAGCAGCCUGGAGUCCAGCCAGAAACCUUUAACUGAGCUUUAAAGGAGAUGGUCACAACACUUUUCAGAAUACUGGCAAAGGCCUCCUGUGGCCAAGUUUGUCCUGGGAUGAGCAAAAUUUAAUGUUAACCUGCUGUAUCUUUGCUUUUAAUAUAUCUGCUUGCCCAUCACAAUGAUAUUAUGGUUAAUUUCACCAAUUUGGUAACCUGCCUCUUGGGAAGUACGAAAGUAAGCAAGGGCCAGGUAUGGUGACUCACGCCUGUAAUCCCAGUACUUUGGGUGGCUGAGGUGGGUGGAUUGCUUGAGCCCAGGAGUUCAAGACCAACCUGGGCACCAUGACAAAACCCCGUCUCUACAAAAUAUACAAAAAUUAACCAGGAGUGGCAGUGCAUGGCUGUAAUCCCAGCUACUCGGAGGCUGAGGUGGGAGAAUCUCUUGAGCCUGGGAGGCAGAGGUUGCAGUGAGCUGAGAUCACACCACUGCAUUCCAGCCUGGGCAAUGAAGUGAGACCCUGUCUCAAAAAAAAAAAAAAAAAAAAAAAAAGAGAAAGACAGUGAGGGUGUCCUGUGAAUCAAAUCUUUGAAUGGAUGUUUUCUUAACUAACCAAGACCUCUGUAAGAAUUCUGUCUUUGAUUCCACAAUAAAGUGGUGUGAAAUUACUAUAAGCAAA